CAAAUUUGAUCGUGUUUAUGACGUGGAUAUUUGACGUCAUAAACACCAAAGUUGAUCGUGUUUAUGACGUCGAAUAUCGACGUCAUAAACACCAAAG